GUGAUUCUGUGUAUAUUCCAGACAUUGCAGUAAUAUUUUAAAAAAUGCUACAGGAAAAAAAACCAAUAUGCCCCUAGGCUUGCAAAUACUCAUAAAGAAAUUAAAGAACCGAUAAAGUAACAAUUUGUUUUAUUGAAGGGCUGAAAUAAUGAAUUAAUUAUUGAAUAUUUGGAGAACAUUUUAAAAUAGUAAUCUUAUUAAACCAAUGUUCAUGAUAAGCUUGACUCACUGAUUGAAAAUGCUCUUGAUUUCCUACCAAUUGCAUCAUCCAGUGUUUUUGUACCUUUGGUGUGUCACCAAUUGGUGAAAUGAAGGACAUGUUCUCAGUGAGGCUGUGCUAUGUUUAUAGAUGAUACAUCAGUUUCUCAGUCAUGGUAAUUUUAUGUUUCUUUUCAUUUUCUGAUGCCAAAUCUAAAUCCUUCCUUGUUACACUAGUAUUUCAUUUGUGGUUUGAAAUUCCUCAGCUUUGACAAUCCUGUUAGUCCUGCGUGUGUGUGCGGGUGGGUGGGAUUUCAAAGAAAGCUGUUUUCAUGAUCUCUGAUUUCAAUUUAUUGGGUAGCAGCUUAAAUUAUGAUUCCUGGACAUCAUGACUACAUUCUCAUACCCAGAGAAUGAACUUUUCCUUGAUGACUCACUCCUCUAUGCAUGCGCUCCAAACUUCAGUCCAUCUGGCUGAUAGUCAGAUAUGUGAAACUCAGUGCAAUACAUGGAGUGUCACUCAGAGUUGUCUUAUCAUUCCAUUUUAUUGCUACUAUUAUGGCUAGUGCUGCUGGUUCUGCUCUCACCACCACUACUACUACUACUAGUAGUGUUUGGUUUAUCUACCUGACAUAGGUAUUUGCUUGGGAAGCGAAAAAAGGGAUAAAUGUUCUGCCAAUUUUCCUCAUUGUGAAACUCACGAGUUAACUCAUUCACACAUUCCAUCCUUUCCAAUACAGUGUUCCCCCACUUAUCAUGGGGGUUAGGUUCCAGGACCACCCGCAAUAAGUGAAAAUCCGCAAAGUAGGGACACUAUAUUUAUUUUAAUAUUUAUACAUUAUGUUAGUAGUGUAUAUUUUGUGUAUAUUUAGUGUAUAUUUUAAGUCUUUAUCAACCAAUUGUGUGUUGAUAAAUCGCCUCCUUCUCCUCUCAUUGCUGCUUGGGCUCCUUUUCUCUCCCUUUGGCUUUUCCUUCCUCCCUUCCUUAGGCUGUAAAUUGUAAUUUUUUAAUGAUUUAUAAUAGUCUUUUAGAGUUUAUUGAAAAACCACAAAACAGCGAAUCUAAACCUGAUCCAACAAGUCUGCAGUGAAGUUUGACAUAUUUAGGGUUAAAUCCAGUUGUCAGUCCUAACUAGAUCCACUAGAUUAAUGGAUUUGACACGUGUUUUGUCAUACAUUUUUUCAGUUGAUUUAAUGAAAGUGAUCUAGAUGGGACUAAUGAUUUGAUGCAGGGGUUUAUUUAUAGAACAUUUUCUGCAAGCCAGACUUGUUAUGUGGCCUGGGUUAAUGUGGAGCAUACUUUCCUUUUUAUAUAUCCUUUCCAAACUAGGGUUUACCUUAAGAAUCUGCUUGUUUGUUUUUUCUCUCCAGCUAUUUGGUUUUCUCUGGUACAGCACAGCUGCAAGAUGCUGGAAAGCAGACUUAAACUGACCAUAGUACUUCUGUCAGACAGUGAGCCAUGUGGAGUAGUUCAGAUUUGAGUUCAACAAGUUAUUGCUUCGAAGUGUUUAUCUGUAAUAAAAACAACACUGGAGUGCUUUAUCAUUCCAUACUUGUCUAGCAAGGACACAUGAAGAAAAUUAAAAAGGCAGGUUACAGAUUAACACCACAACUGGAAAACUUUUUUUACAAGAGUGCCCAUAUGCUAGUGCACAGAUUAUGUAAAUGUUGAAAAAACAUUUUCAUGUGCUAACCAACACCACCUGUUUUUACGUAAUUCUAGCAUUAAGUAAGUUUCAGGAAGGUCCUACCUAAGAUAGGAGCCCCUGGUGGCACAGCAGGUUAAACCGCUGAGCUGCUGAACUUGCUGACUGAAAGGUUGGUGGUUCAAAUCUGGGGAGAGGAGUGAGCUCCCAUUGUUAGCCACAGCUUCUGCCUACCCCGUUUUCCCGAAAAUAAGACAGUGUCUUAUAUUAAUUUUUGCUCCCAACGAUGUGCUAGAUCUUAUUUUCAGGGGAUGUCUUAUUUUUUCAUGAAGAAGAAUUCACAUUUAUUGUUGAACAAAAAAAUGAACAUCACAAGCCAGCAUAGAUCAGGUCUUCCAGCUCGGAAAAUAAUGGUUGCAGACCUGAUCCACACUUGGGCUUUUUAGCAUUUCCAUUGUCCACUUGUUGACUGAGGUUAAUGUAAUCUGCUCGCCAUUUUCGGACCAAUCUGAUAUCCAACAUAUUCUCUUUGCAGAAAGCAGUAAGAUUUUUGCCCUGAGAGUCUUACACGAUUCCUAUCUUGUACUCCACAGAAUAGCUCUUUCUUUUUGCGUUCAUGUCUAGGGGGAAAAUAUACCAGCACUGUUUAUUCCUUGUACUUUAGACCCUUCAGCAGAAAAUCUGACACUCCCUAAAGAAUCAAUAAAUAAUAAUAAUAAUUAUAAUAGUAAUAAUCUUUAUUUAUAUCCCGCUUUUCUCUCUCACAGGACCCAAAGUGGCUUACAACAUAUUAAAAUCAUAUAAACAGCAAUCAGAGUACAUUAAUAAUAUAAACAUAAUAAGAUAAACAUUAAGAAAAACAACUACAGUACACAUUCAAGUUCAUGAGGUAUCAUAUCAAGACAUAUAUUGCACUCUACUCCAGUCCAUAACAUAUGAUAUUCCUGUCAUUCCUGAUUAAUUUUCAAGAUUUGAAUACCCUUUCAUAAAAGAGGGAAAAGGCAGCUCAGAUUAUGAUGUGCAUUACAAGUGACAGGUUAUCAUCCAGUGUACAAAAAUAUUGAUGUACUUGCCAAAUUUCAGAACCAGACAAAGUGAGUCACAUGAAGAAAAAUGUAAUUAAUUGUUUUAUUUUAGAAGAGGGAUCUGUAACUGCCAGAGGUCCAAGGAAUAGAGGUCCAUACUGGAGCUUAGAAGCUUACAUUCCCUUCCCAUGCCAUCUGUCUUUAUCUGCAAAAUGUUUUUUUUUAACUCAAAAGGCUCCUUGUGGCAUCUAAGUGGUGUGAGGAACAAUUUCAGGGUUUUUGUUUGUUUAGUCUUAAAGUCAAGAACAUCUGGAAUCUGCACUGACAGCUUCAAAGACCCAGUUUGAUGGAACAGAAAGGAUGGAGGGCCACAGGAAACAGCUUGUGGAGUUUGCACAUUGCCCAUCUCACACAUACAUAUAUAUGGUAUAUCAAAAACUUAGGAUUCAGGUGGAUGGUCAGAGCACUCUUUUAAGGUCAAUGGAAAGUGGGUUUUGCACUACAAGUCCCAUCAGGCCUUAGUUAUGGAAUGGUGUGAGUUGCAGGUCAGCAAUGUCUACAACAGAAUGCAUUCAAAGCCACAAUGCCUCCUUCCUCAUUUGUCUCCCUUCCAAAAAGUAGAAAUAAUAAUAAUAGACCUUUCUUGAAAAAUGUACCUGGUUCACAAUACACUAUCUGGCACACACUGGGCGAGGAAGAGGCAGGAAAGGCACCCACGUGAAAAGUGAGGAGGCGGGAAAGUGAUUAGGCAGGAAGGGCUCACAUCUUACCCUCCUACCUCAGCGGCAGCAGCGGAAGGGAAAGGAAAAGGCAGGAGAGAAGGAUCUCAUUCGUGCAGCACUGGCCAAGGAAAAAGGAGAAGCUGCUGCUCCCGUGUUUCCCUUCCUCAGAGGCAGCGAUGGAAGGGGAAGGGAAAAGCGUGAGCAGCACCUUCUUCUCCUUCACACAGCACCGGCCAAAGAAGGAGAAGCUGCUGCUCCCAUGUUUCCCUUUCCCUUCCUCAGAGUCAGCGGCGGAAGGGAAAGGAAAAAACAGGAGAGAAGGAUCUCAUUCACACAGCACUGGCCAAAGAAGGGGAAGGAGAAGCUGCUGCUCCCACGUUUCCCUUUCCCUUCCUCGGAGGCAGCGUUGGAAGGGAAAGGGAAAAGCGUGAGCAGCACCUUCUUCUUAUUUGCACAGCACCGGUCAAAGAAGGAGAAGGGAGCCCCGGCGGCGGGGGCGGCAGAUCCCUCCUAGAUCUUACUUUUGGGGGAGGUCUUAUAUUUGGCAAUUCCCCCAAACUUGUACUAGGUCUUAUUUUAUGGGUAUGUCCUAUUUUCGGGGAAACACGGUACCUAGCAAUUCAAAAACAUGCAAAUGUGAGUAGAUGAAUAGAUACUGCUUGUUGUACCUCAGCGCUGGUUCACCUUGCUCUUAACACACACUCCACCACAACAGACUUGAUUAAAACAGUUUAUUGAUAAAAGAUAGUAAAGUCUGAAUAAAAAUCAGUAAAGAAGGCAAUAAUCCCAAUGCAAGGCAGUCUGUAGAAUAAAGUUCAAAGUCUCCAAUAUAGCAAAUCAAUCCUGAAAACAAGACAGCAGGGACUUCAAAACACAAUCCAAAAUACGAGAUCCAGGCAUGAACAAAAGCAAGAAUACUUUUCCAUGAGCAUAGACAAGACAGGAACUUUGCUUCCAAAACCAAUGUUGCUUCGUCUGAAAUCUUUCCCUGUUUCUCCUUUAUUUAACCAUGCUUACUGUCCAAGAAAGCAUUCCUUUACCCUUGGGUUCCCACAAGUUUACCAGCUAUCUUAAAAGAACAUCUGGGACGAUGAACUUUUUACCUUAACCUUGCAUCCCUAUCUAAGGAAGACUCCUAUGACUCGCUGCCAGAGACACCUGGUACUUGUUGAUGUUCUGAACUCUGCUGAUGUUCUGAAUCCUGUGAAAGGUCACCCCUAUCACUGGCUUCUGCCCCAGCGCUAGUCUGUUUAUCACAGGCUUCUGAUUCACUGCUAUUCUGCGGCCUCUCUAACAAUUCAGAGCCUUCAACAUUUCCCUCAUCAACAUUUCCGUGGUCAGCCUGCAUAAACCCAAAUUCCCCUUCAUCAUCAGACUGAACCACAAUACUGCUCCAGCGAGAGGGUAACAGUGCUCCAUGCAGUCAUGCUGGCCACAUGAUCUUGGAGCUGUCUAUGGACAAUGCCGGCUCUUUGGCUUAGAAAUGGAGAUGAGCACCAACCCCCAGAGUCAGAUACAACUAGACUUAGUCAGGGGAAAACCUUUACCUUUACCUUUUACUUCCUAAGGUAAAGAUAUAAACAAAGAAAAAUACUUUUGAUUGAUGGAUCUCUCUGUGUGUAUAUAUAUUAUAUACAUAUAUAAACAGUAGAGUCUCACUUAUGACGAUUAAUAGGCUUUUCAUUAAUCCAUCAUUAUCCAACAUAAACAGGAUAAGCUUUAUGAUUUUACAAAUUAAGCAUCAAAACAUCAUGUUUUACAACAAAUUGACAGAAAAAAUAGUUCAAUACACAGGCUCACUUCAAAGGACCAGUCUGAACGCAGAUCAAAGAUAGCUGCUCUCAAAUCCAAUCUUUAUUGAAGAAUACAUGACUUUGGAAAAGUCGAGAAUGACCUAAUGUUUACAUACAAUCAUUUUUAUCACCUCUGAUGCAACGUAACACCACACGCAAAUAUCAUCAUCAAACCCCACCCCUUGUAUCACAUUUCUACUAUUCCCACACACUAUACCAAUUAUAAUUGUUUAUACUUUCAACCCCGAGUUCCCAGGCUCAUUCUAUCUUCUUCUGCCAGGUGCUUCCAGGGUUAUUUAUGUUAUGACUCCAAGUCCAGGGCUUGGAAAUUCAGCCCUGGGACUUGUUUCCAUGACAAUGUUACGUAGUAAUUACUGUACAGUAAAGCCCUGCUCAUUUGAGCACCGCUCAUUUGAGUGUCUGGGCUAUCCAAGCCAAAUCGCCCCCCCCACUUACCCCGCCAGAUCCCGGUGCUGCCGGAAUCCAGCCAGGUGAGUGAGCGAGGGACGGAGGGCAGGCUCGCUGGCUGGCUCCACCAGGCUGGGUGCCGACCCCGGCAUGGCAAAGGAGCCGAGCCACGGAGGGCGGGCGAGUGAAGGAGGAGGGCCUUUGCGGCCCUCCGUGUUCUCCCAGUCAUUCACUGGCUCCUUCGGUAAGCCAGGUGCUGGUGCUGCCAACGCCUCACCUGUUGAAGGAGCCGAGCCAGCGAGUGGGGGAAUGGGGAGGCCAUCCCUGUUCACCCACUCGCUCAUUGGCUCCUUCGGCAGGCUUUUCCUUAAUCCCUCCUUAUUAUCCAAGAUUUUCGCUUAUCCAAGCUUCUGCCAGCCUGUUCAGCUUGGAUAAGCGAGACUCUACUGUAUUUACAAAUUUAGCACCAAAAAAUCAUAAUGUAUUGAAAACAUUGACUACAAAAACAUUGGCUACUAACAAAUUGACUACAAAUAAAAAUAGAAUUGCAUAAAAUGAACUUACAGUAAUAACAUUGUUGGAAGUUAAAUCCGUAAAAAGUUCAGUCCUUGCUGCCUAAAGAAAUAGCUGUGGAUCAUGGCGGGAGGCAGACUGCGUUGGAUCAUCCAGAACGUUGAAUAAGCGAAGGUUGGAUAAGCGAGAACCCACUGUAUUUGCUAAUGAUUAGUGAAGCCUGUUCAACUGCAAGAAAUAAUUUCAAUUGUGUUGGUUUUCAUUAUUCUAUCCCUUGAAGUCAUAUUUGUCAUAAGGAGACCCUGUGGUGAACCUAUCGUGGAGUGUUCUUGGCAAAAAUUGUUCCAGGAGUGUGUGUGUCUUUGCAUCCUUCUGACACUUAGAGAAUGUGAUUUCCCAAAGUCACCCAGUGGGUUUCUCUGUCCGAGUGGGGUUUUGAACCCUAGACUCAUAAUCAUGGCACAAAGCUGGCUCCUUAAAUAAAAAUAUACUGACUGUCUUCAUAAUAUUGCCAGAAAAGAUGCAGAGAGAUUCUCUCUGGAUAUAGAAUCAUCUCCUUGGUGCUUUAGGGCUCCCUCAACAUAUGUGCUACCUGAGGGGUAUAAGAGCAAAUAUAUUUUGGCCACCUGAGAGUUCUCUCAAACAGCACCUGCGUUUGCUUUCCUCCUUUACCAGAUUGUGCUACAGAAAAGUUUCCCUUGGGUCUAAUUUGAUUCCUUAGGAAUACAGGGUUUGUUCUCACUAGCCAUAUGUAUGCUGUUGCAUAAGCAUGGCAUAUUCUUAUCUGCUACUUAUAAAUGAUAACCCUCGGGUAGUUAACAAACAGUUAUCUAGGAGAGGGGAUAUAGUUAAAUUUCUUCGUUCCGGAAGUGUUAAACUUUUCAGAUGGAAGUGACAAUACAAGAUCACAAAUUCAACUUCGUUUGAGUGGAUACACCAAUCUGAAACUGAUUCAGAACAGCAGUGUGAGUUACUAGUAGACGUUUGCAGGCUCACAUUGGUUGAAAUAGCCCUUAGCUUGAUGUCCUGGAGCAUUUUGACAAAGGAUACAAGUGUCUUGGUUUCGUGGAUGUUACACACAAUAAACAUAGUUGUUCCCUGAGUAAGACUGCUUCUCACUGCAUAUCUGUGGCAGUGGUAAGAUAUGGCACAACAGGAGUGGAACUAGGCAGCCACUUGGUCCAACCUUUUAUCUAUUCAUCCAUAGCUUUACAAUUUAUAGACGGCAAUGAUAUGGACAUGGUUUGGCACCUUUUAAUGAUUUUUUUUUUAAAAAAGACUAAGAGAUGCUUUAGAUGCUUCUUCUAUUUAAUCAGCCUAAAGAUCCUGAAAGUGCCAGGUCACAUUAGUUGCUUUAGUACGGUCAGGCCUGGUUAGUACUGGGAUGGGGAUCUCAAGGGAAUACCAGGUGAUGAAGGUAGAGGCCUGUGGCAAACCCCCUCUGACGAUUUCUUCUCAAAGAAACUAUGAAACUUGAAGGAAUACACAUAUGGACCACGCAUACAUGGGUCUUGGUGCUAGUUCUUACUUUGACAGACAGAGUGAUGACUCCUAUUAUUAUUAUUACGGGAAAGUAGAAAUAUUUGCUUCUCAUGACUUAGAAAUCCUUUCAAGCUCUCCUCCCUGUUCUUUCCCCUUUCCUUUCUCUUCUAUUUCUCUGCCACACUCUUUUCCCUUGGCGCUGAUCUUUCUGUUCCUCCUCCUUGUUCCUUCAGUCUUACUGCUUACUCUUUUUCAAGCUCUGUCUCAGAGGCCUGCCUCUAUGUCAGUGGUUUUCAACCCUUUUUUGACCAGGGAUUACUUUGAUUUUUGUUGUUGUUAGCAGGUACUACAGGGUUCAAGAAUAAUAAACUGUGUUAAUCCAAACAUAAACUUUAAUCAUAACUUUUAACAUACAGUAUUUGUUAAACUUAAUAGUAACAUGAAUUAAGAGUACUAUUACAAUAUAAAAGGAACGUUUUUAGUAGAAAAUUAAAUUUGGUAUGCAUCAAUGUGAUUUUUUGAGCUUGUGUCUUCUUUACAAGUUGAGUAAUCCUGGGGCUAAUAUUAUUGCUCAAAGCUAUACACAUAUCAUCACUUAUUUUCAAUCAAUUCCUGGACUUGUUUUUCAUUACCAGCAAAGCAGAAAACCCUUGUUCACAUAAAUAAGUUAUGGAGAAGAGCAUAAAAUAGUGCAAGGUGAUUCCUCGAAUUUUAGUAUGAAAUUACUUUUUUACACCAAAACUCCUCAAAUGAAUCAGAUUUGAAUUUAUAUGAAUAUUGAGGACUCAUGGUCAGUAAAACUACUGGAGCCCAUGAAUCACUAAAUAUCAAAACAGAAUCACUGACAUAGUUGAGCAAGAUAAAAGAAUGUGUGCGACUGUUGGAAGCUGGGUGGCGUGAGUACUUGACAUGUGAUGUCAAUCGCUUGCCCUCCUCCUGGUCUUCCAAAUUCACCUGAUGUCCUACUCGCUGGCGCCGUCCGCGUAACAACGGAUACAUUAAAAUUUAAAAUGAAUAAAGGUUUAAAAUUUUAUAUGUUUCACAGACCAUAUUUUAGUUCUUACAAACUACUGAUGGUCCAUGGACCACUUGUUGGGAACCACUGCUCUAGGUUAACUAAGGUCUUUUACCUAGUACAGUGGUUCUCAACCUGUGGGUCCCCAGGUGUUUUGGCCUACAACUCCCAGUUUACCAGCUGUUAGGAUUUCUGGGAGUUGAAGGCCAAAACAUCUGGGGACCCACAGGUUGAGAACUACUGACCUAGUGGCUGAAGACCUUACUACAAGUUGCAGAUAUUUUAAUUCAAAGAAAUAUUUUAAAUGCACACAGUGUGCAGUAGUUUCUCAGCAUCCUGCCAAAUUUCAGGUGUUUUAUAUUUCACAGUAUUGGAACUAUAGAGAAAAUAAGCCUUUAUGCUUUAUUGUUGUUUAAUUGAAACAUUGAAAACCCACAGUAUUUAUUUAUGCUCCCAUAAAUAAAAAAAAACAAAAUUGUCCUCUCUGAUUUUUGUCUUUAUGAUGAAUAACAAAAGCACAUUAACAUUGAAUAGAACUUUAUUUUUGAGGAAAAAACCCUACUUGCAUUUGUCUGAGAUAAACAAAUAUAUUCCAGUAUUAUAAAUGGGCUUUACUAAGGUGCACAUAUAGCUGUUGUUUCAUCCAUCCAAUAACAAACAACUUUAAUUGUAAGGGGCUUAAAAUGGCCUUUGUUUCCUGUGUCCCCAAUCAAUAUGUGAAGAGAGCCAGUAGCUUUGGGGAGAAAGGGAAAUAAUUCUUGACAUACACAUGGAUUUUUUAAAAAAACCAUAUUUCUUGGCAUGGUAUUGUGAUUGUACUCACUUUGAUAAUCUGAACUUCUGCUGUUACUCUCUUAGGACCUCAUUCUGUGUGUAUAUGUGUGGGUAGCAUCAUGUAAACAUGGCGUUUAAUCUUAAUCUUAAUUUAAUUUAAUCUUAAUUCCCCUGCACACAGCAUGGCGUUUAAUCUUAAUUCCCCUGAAAACACAGAAAUGCUGGACCACUCUAACCACCAUGUCAGACUACACAAAGAAGCCAUUGAAAUCCACAAGCAUGUGGACAAUUUCAACAGAAAGGAGGAAAACAUUAAAAUAAACAAACUUUAAAAACAUGGCAGUAAAUAAAGAACAACACUCAGUAAACAGGGAAUUCCUGACAAGAAACAAUCAGGGCUAGCUAACACCUCCCAACAAAGGAUGCCCCCAGGAAGGAAGCAGCCAGGCUUUGAAGCUGCUAAUCAAGCUGGCCAAUUGUAACAUUCACACUUGCCUCAAACAGACAAGAGUUCUUUCUCCCACCCUGGACAUCAUUCCACAGAUAUAUCCCAAUUGCCUAGUUUCCAACAAAUCUCUAAGGAUACCUGCCAUGGAUGUGAGUGAAAGGUCAGGAGAGAAUGCUUCUGGGACAUGACCAUACAGCCCGGAAAACUCACAGCUACCCAGUGAUUCCGGCCAUGAAUGCCUUCGACAACACAUCUUUUUGUUGCUUUUUGUUGCUUCCUUUGAUACAAUCAGAAGUGGAAAGUAUUGGUUUUGGGUAGUAAAAUUUAGAAUUUCCUUACCUGCACGGCCACUGAGAAUUGUCAUUUGUUACAUCCACUCAUUAGAUUGAUAAAAUCUCACAUCACAGAGCUAGUUGCUUAUUUUUAUUUACUGUCUCACCAUAUCCCCUUCCUUCCCCUACAGCCUCCUGUGUCAGAUGUGAAGUUGCAAUCUUCUUAAGAUAGAGAGCUGUCUUGUGUUGCUUUUUUAAAGUACUGUAAACAAGCAUGCAAAGGCAGAAGUGCUCUUAGAUGUGCUGCAUUUCGUUGUGCUUGGAACAGUGCAUCCUUUGUGAAGAAGUUGUAUUGCAUAAUUUGCAGAUAUUGCCAAUAAUACAUUUUUGUUUCAUGUUAAAAAAGACAACUAGACAUCUAUCUUGUUUACCUUCGGUUGUUAUUGCAUACAUAGUAAUGAUAUUUAUUUAUUUAUUACCUGCCUCUCCUUUUGGCUUGAGGCAGGAUACAGCCUAGUUUAUACACCUAUAAAAUCAUAUUUUGAAGCAUAGUUAAAAUGCAACCAUAAAAACAGUUAUUAAACAUUAAAAUGCCUGAGAAUACAUGAACAUAUGUUGCACUGGAUGCUUUUUGAGAGGUGGAUGAAAUGCAUUUAAAUCAAAUACAGACAUUUAUGGGUGUGAUUAUUCAUAGAUUUGAUUGAUAUGUUCUCUCUUGGAACCUCUAGCUCCUCCAGCAUGAUUCUGUAGUCAUCGUUCAUCCAAAGUUUACUAUAGAGUUUUACUGGAGAACCUAGAGCAGUGGUUUUCAACCUGUAGGUCCCCAGGUGUUUUGACCUACAACUUCCAGGAAUCCUAGCCAGUUUGCCAGCUGUUAGGAUUUCUGGGAAUUGAAGGCCAAAACAUUUGGGGACCCACAGGCUGAGAACCACUGACCUAGAGAUUUCUAGAGAGAACACUUAUUUAAGCAUUUAUAGAUUCAUACGCUGAAGAUGACUUGAAGGGUUGCACACAUAUAUACCGUAUUUUUCGCUUUAUAAGACGCACUUCGCCCCCCCCCCCCAAAAAUAGAGGGGAAAAGUCAGUGCGUCUUAUAAACGUGAGAGGCGGGGUCCACGCAGCUCAGCCUUGCCAGUCUGGCCUUUUCCAGGGGGCCAGACUGCAGCGGAGGUCCCUGCAGGCCAAGAUCGCGAUCGCGGCCUGCAGGGACCUCCGCUUCAGUCUGCCCCCCUGGAAAAGGCCAGGGGGCGCUGGACGCAGUUCCUAUACCUUUUAGAUCACACGAGAAAGUAGCCCUUUGAAAUCUCAGGGCCCUUCCACACAUAUAACCCAGAAUAUCAAGAUAGAAAAUCCCACAAUAUCUGCUUUGAACUGGGUUAUCUGAAUCCACACUGCCAUAUAUUCCAGUUCAAAGCAGAUAAUGGGGGAUUUUAUUCAGCUGUGUGGAAGGGACCUUAGUCUCAGACUCUGUGUUUUUUGUUCUGUUUGGUCACAGUUAAAUUAAUUGUAUUAAACAAUAACGUUUCUAGCCAGGAAUUUCCACAAUGACCCACCUCUCUUAACAGAUUGUACGCAGUUAUCCAUACCCAAAGGCAUUUCUCUGUGAAUUUGGACGCGCUGGACGGGAGGCAAGGGAGGCAAAAUAAAAUGUGUGCCAAAAACUGUUAUGUGACUAUAACCCCAUCAUCCUAAAGAAUACACUGAUUUACUGUACACUGGUUUAUUCUUAUACUGUAGUCAUGUCAGUUACCGUAAGCCAAUAUUGGUACAAUACUUGGACAGUGUUCAUAUUUAAUGUGACUAUAACUCCCCUCAUCCUUAAGAAUAAACCAGUGUACAGUACCGUAAAUCAGUGUAGUCUUUAGGAUGAUGGGGUUAUAGUCACAGCUAGUGUCCCCAUGACUAUGCAGGACACAAUGCUGACAUCCAUUUUUUAUUACUAUAUUUUGUUGUAGAAAACUACCGUAAAUACAGUAAUCUCCUGCUGCAUCAAAAUUUAGAAAGAUGUCAGUGCAGAAAAGGCUCUCAUAUAGGAUCCCUUUUAAACUGGAGGUGAUAAAAUACACCAAAGAACAUGGAAACAGGGCCGCUGAGAGACAUUUCGGGCCACCUCCAACUGAAAAGAUGAUACGGGAGUGGAGGAAACAGGAGGAUCAGCUGCAGAAAGCAGAUAAGAGUAAGCACACGUUUCGUGGGCGUACUGCAAAAUGGCCACAGAUUGACGUGAAAAUGAAGGAGUGGAUCACACGUCACAGGAACAAUGGCUUCUCAGUAUCCACAAAAAUGAUCAUAUAUGAAGCCAAGCGUCUAGCUGCAGAGAAAGGCAUUGUGGAGUUCACUGGAUCCCCAUCAUGGUGCUAAAGAUUCAUGAGGAGAUGUGGCCUUGCUAUGCGCACCAAAACUAGAAUUGCACAAAAAAUGCCAAAGGAAUAUGAGUCCAAGAUUGUUUCUUUUCACAAAUAUGUGCUGGAUGCAAGAAAGAGAAAUGGCUAUGAAAUAGGCCAGAUUGGGAAUAUGGAUGAAGUCCCAUUAACCUUUGAUGUUCCAUCAAACAGGACCGUUGACGUGAGAGGCGCAAAAACCAUAACCGUAAAGACCUCGGGACAUGAGAAAACACAUUACACGGUUGUGUUGUCCUGCUGCGCAGAUGGGACCAAACUGCCACCGAUGCUCAUCUUCAAGAGGAAGAACAUGCCAAAAGAGGCGAUUCCAAAGGGUGUAAUUGUGCAUGUACACGACAAAGGGUGGAUGGAUGAGAACGGCAUGAAAGUAUGGGUCGACAAAGUGUGGUCCAAACGCCCUGGAGGGCUUCUGAAGAAACCGGCCCUACUUGUGCUUGACCAGUUUAGGGCACAUAUCAGUGAACCUAUAAAAAACAAGUUCAAAGAUGUGAAGACUCAUCUAGCGGUGAUUCCUGGAGGUCUUACCAGCCAGCUGCAGCCUCUGGAUGUGUCGAUCAACAAGCCAUUCAAGGUUUUUAUGCGGGAGGAGUGGAAUAAAUGGAUGGCUGCCGGAAACCACGAUCUGACACCUAGUGGAAGAAUGAAAAGACCCACUAUCGCCCAGGUCUGCGAGUGGGUGAAGUCUUCAUGGCAGUCAGUGAAGGAUGAAACGGUUAUAAAAUCCUUCAAAAAUGUGGCAUCAGUAAUGCGUUGGAUGGUUCUGAGGAUAAUGUCCUGUAUGAAGACUCCAGUGACAGUGAUAGCACUGUUAGUGAGCCACAGAGCUUGAGUUCGGACAGUAGUGGGGAUUUUUUGGGGUUUCUAGAUGACUAGGGGUGUAUUGUUCUAAAGUUUUGUUACAAUUAAUUACAGUAAUAAUGUUUCCUAAUGCUGCUGUUGACUGUUUGGUAAUGUCUACAUAUUACAUGUUAUUUUAUUAAAAUGUUCUAGGUCAUCUUUUAGUUCAAAUUAUUUUUCCCCAUUUUCUUCCUCUGAAAACUAGGUGCGUCUUAUCAUCAGGUGCGUCUUAUAAAGCGAAAAAUACGGUACCCAAACACACACCUUGGCUUGGCGACAACAAUAAGGAGAUUCUAUAAGAGCCAGAAAAAGGUGUAUUGAAAUCAGUCAUCUUUUCAUAGACAAAAAGAAAAUAAAUUAAGGGAGGAAGUUUGCAAGGGGAAGAGACUGAAGAAGGGAAGAACAUAUAAUAAUUGUUAUUAACUGCUAUCUCUUGAACACUUCUAAUACCCACUACUAAUACCUACUCUUACUAGCCUGUUUGCCAGGUUGAGUUUUCAGUGUGCCAACCAUUACUGGAUUUGUGCAGACCAUACAAUGAAGGAUAUUUUGUGGACAGACAGGUUAACAACCUGAUUGGUCCCUCUGCAUUAUCAUAUAAUUUAUAAUCUACCAAAUGUUCUCCAUGGAGCCUGUCUAGAGUCAAUGUAAUCCUUGCAUUGAAAAGCAAAUCAUAUAAUUUAUCAAGGUAAACAAAUUGUACGAACAUAAGCAUAUUUUAAAUAUCUUAACCCAAUAUAAGUUGUCUUUAGCGGUGUUCUUUUUUGGUCACAUUCUCCUUUAACAAAAGAGAAUAACUCUUUACAAUUCUUAUUAACAGUGGUAAUAAUUUUCCCUAUAAAAUUAUUGACCGCAUAUUGAUUUAAUCCCUCUAGAAAAACAACAGAGAAUCCUUCUUCCAUGCAAAAAGCAUGACAGAAAUGGAUUUUUGUAUUAUGAGCUGUAAUCCAUCUAACGUUUUUAAAAAGAGGGAGAGUGUGUGUUUAUGAGCAUUUGAUCGUAGUCCUCUCCUUAAAAUGCCAUCCACGGCUGCACUUGCAAAUUGGUUUUAAGUGGCCUUACCUGAAUAUUUGUUGGCCAAAUGUCAGUCUACUCUGAAUGCUACAAUAUUUGAUUUUCUGCAAGGUUUUGCUCCUGCAUUUUUGUGAUAAGUGGAAAUUGCAGCUGCUUUCGAGAAGUGAAUUAGAUUUCUGGUCCUUGUGUCCCUAAAGCAAAAGCUGAGAAAGAUGAGCUGUAAGCCAAAUCCAAGAGAUGAUAGGUGUUUAUAAGACACUCCCUGCCCUGGUUUAUAGUUGCUUGUAAAACUCACGCACACAACCACCCACUUGCCACUGCUUUUACAUUAAAACUGGUUACCCAUCAACUGUUAGCAUUAAAUUAUCCUGCUUUUUAAAGAGCUGUUUAACUCUUCCUGUCUUCUGUUAAAAGACACAAGACUAAAAUCAUUCACCUUCAUAACAGCCCCUCCUUAAAAAAUAAAGAAACAAAUACUAGAGCAUUGAAUAAAAACACUGAAACACUGCUGAGUCUUCAGACACAAUACUCUGGCACUCUCUAUGCCAGUGGUUCUCAACCUUUCUAAUGCUGCAACCCCUCAAUAUAGUUUCUCAUGUUGUGAUGAUGUCCAACCAUAAAAUUAUUUUUGUUGCUACUUCAUAAUUGUAAUUUUGCUACUCUUAUGAAUUGUACUGAAAAUAUCUGAUAUGCAAAAUGUAUUUUUGUUCACUGGACCAAAUUUGGCACAAAUACCCGAUAUGCCCAAAUUUGAAUACUGGUGGGGUUGGGAGGGAUUGAUUUUAUCAUUUGGGAGUUGUAGUUGCUGGGAUUUAUAGUUUACCUGCAAUCAAAGGGCAUUCUGAACCAAACAAUGGAACUGAACCAAUAUGCUCAAUAUGCUCAAAUUUGAACACUGGUGGAGUUUGGGGAAAAUAAAUCUUGACAUUUGGGAGUUGUAGUUACUGGGAUUUAUUGUUCACCUACAAGAGCCCCUUGAACUCCACCAGCGAGAUAAUUGAGCCAAACUUCCUACACAGAACCCCCAUGACCAACAGAAAAUACUUUGGCAACCCCUCUGACACUCCCUUCAUGACCCCCCAGGGGUCCUGACCCCCAGGUUAAGAAACACUGCUCUAUGCCUUCUAGUAUUGAUAUAAUAACAGUAGACUACUUUGCAGGGUUGAUAUAAGCCAUGCUGUUUCAGUCACAUCAGCCUUUCUCUCGCCCAAUAAAUAUCCCGGCUCCCCAAUAUAUCUGGUGGUUGCCACGUCUUGUCUGUUGGACCGGAUGGUGCCAGGGAGCGGGUUUCUCAAUUCAACAGAAAGUUGUAGAUCACAAUCUCAGCUUUUAUACUGCAAAAUGGGAAGUGAUCAAUUGCGUAUAUGCAGUUAGCAAAUGGAAAUUCAAAUUAACAUGGAUGCUUAACAUCCUGAAGUUUCACACAACAGUUUCUAUGGAAACUAGAAUCUUUAUAUAGCUCUGAGGAUUUUGCUAACAAGCUGAAAUAGUGGCAUUAGUUGGGUGUAGGGCACAUUCCCCAUGGCGAGCAUUCAUUUUUAACAUGUACUAUGCAUUUUAUUUUUUUGGCUCAGUAGUCAUACAUUUUUCAACACCAAGGGUUUUAAAAAGUAAUACCACCACUAAUGGUUUUCUCAAACCUUAUGCAAAGUAGAUGUCAGGUUGUGAUAUUAAAAGCAUUUGGUUUCUGCAAGUGUUCUGAAAUGACAAAAAUAAAAAAAUUAAGCUUAGGGCAUGUUUCUUUUCUCUGGGUAUUUGGUUUUUACAUAUUCAAAAGCAGAGAAGGUUAUUGUUUGGAAAGCAGGUAGCCCCUAAGCUUAGGCAAGCCUCCACAAUUCUUCCAAAUCCAUUAAUAUGAAUAAUUAGGAAAAGGAUCGGACCAAGAUAAUUCUCGCAACUUCAGAUGUGGACUUCAACAUUUUUAUUUUUUGAUAUGAUUCAAGAGGUCUGCUUUCAAAUACCACUGUUUAUGUCUCAUUUCCAUGCUGCAUGUUGUAUAUUUACAUACUAAAUUACAGAAUCAUUUAUUAAAGAAAAUACAGAAACAAUUGAUGACAAAAUGUUGCAGUGUAAAAUGUUCUUGCUCAUUCUUUCAUCGUGUCAGCCAUGCCUUCCUACAUGAUACUUCAUUACAUUCCCUUCUCCUUUGCUUUUCUGUUCCUCAGCUUGGUUUUCAGUCAGUGUUGUAAUGCCAUUGAGUAUGCAAUAAGGCUCCCAUACCUUGGGAUCUGCAGUUGAACCCAAGAUGAUGAUGAUGAUGGUGAUGAUGAUGAUGGUGAUGAUGAUGAUGAUAAUAAUAAUAAUAGGCUUUAUUUAUAUUCCACCCUUCUCUCCUAGGGAACUCAGAGCAGACUGCAGCAUUUACAUACUUGUACAUAGUCAAACAUUCAAUGCCUUUGAAUGUCAAGAGCAGGGGUCCCCAAACUUUUUAAACAGGGGGCCAGUUCACAGUCCCUCAGACUGUUGGAGGGCCGGACUAUAGUUUUAAAAAAACUAUGAACACUGCACAUAUCUUAUUUUGAAGUAAAAAACAAAACAAAACGGGAACAAAUACAGCCUCAAUGUUAAUAAUCAUAAUAAUAAUAAAAAUAAUAGAGGGUUGGAAGAGACCCCUUGGGCCAGGGGUCCCCAAACUUUUUAAGCAGAGGGCCGGUCCACAAUCCUUCAGACUGUUGAGGGGCCGAAUUAUCAUUUAAAACAAAAUACAAACAAAUUCCUAUGCAUACUGCGCAUGUCUUAUUUGUAGUACAACAACAACAACAACAAUGAAAUAACAAUACAAUAUUUAAAAAUGAAAACAAUUUUAACCAACAUAAACCUAUUAGGAUUUCAAUGGAAAGUGUAACACAAUAUUAGCAUUAUAUAUUACUAUAUUGAACUAUACCACUAUACUAUUAUAUAAUAUGUAAUAUAUAACAUAUAAUUAAUAUUAUUCUAUGGUAUUACUACUAGUAUUAUAUUGUAUAACAUAAAAUUAUUAUCAAUAUUAUAUGUAUAUACAAUAUAUUAUAUUAUUAAAACUGAUAUAAAAUAUUAUAUUAUAAAACUGAGGGCGGGGGCCAGGUAAAUGACCUUGGAGGGCCGCAUCCGGCCCCCGGGCCUUAGUUUGGGGACCCCUGGUCAAGAGACACACAAACACAAACAAAGGCAAUGCUUCUUUCAUUUCCAGCUUCUGGAGAUGGUGCCCAUCUUUGACUGGGGAGGUGCUUUCUCCAUUUUUUCAAACCGAGGAGCCUGCAUUGUCACCUGGUCAUGUGGCUGGCAAGAUUGCUUGGAGCAUCUUUGCCUUUUCCCGCCGAAGCGGUACCUUUUUAUCUACUCACAUUUGCAUGUUCUCAAACUGCUAGGUUGGCAGGAACUAGGGCUGACAGAUUGGAGCUCACCCUGUCUUGUAGAUUCGAACUUCUGACCUUCAGGUCAGCAGUCCAGCAGUACAAGGGUUAAAAUCAUUUCACCACCGCGGCCCUCAUGGUGUCUUUAGGCAUUUGCUAAGUCCACAAAUCAAUUCUCAAUACAGUAUAACCCCCAUAUAUGCAGGGCUAGUAUCUGUGGUUUCAUUUAUCCACUUCCAACAAAAUAGGGCCUCUCUGGCACAGCUGUAUAGUAUUCUUGGGAUGCAGUCCUUCAUUUCAAUAUGAUUUGCUAUUGUCUGUAAUUUUGGUUAUCAGUGCAAUUUCUAGGAACAAAUCCUUCCUGAAUUUGGGAGCUGUACUGUAUUUUCAUCCAGGGAAUCAAACCAUAUGUCAGCUCUGUAAAUCAUCUGGAAGAAGAAGAAGAGGAGGAGGAGGAGGAGGAGGAGGAGGAGGAGGGGGAGGAAGAGGAGACAGCUUUCAUAUACUACAUCUUAACAUUACAACAGGAGUACCCUUGCAAGGUCCACAUUUGUCCACAUUUGUGGCCAUCCUUGCUAAUUAUGAAAAGGAGGGCAGAAAGAGUACAGUUCAAUCCAAAACCAAGGCUUGUCGUUGUGAGGUUGCCUCUUAUGGGGGUCCUCUCUCAGUUUUUCUAUUUCUAUUUUUUUAAAAAUACUUAUAUGGGAAACAUAAAAUUAGUAGUGGUCAGGUUGCUCCUCCUUUAAUUGAACAGGUGUCUCUUCCUUUAACUGAAAAGAGUUGUGGAUAUGCAUGAUGCAGUACUUCAACUUUUAAUUAGAAGGAUUCGCAUUCUGUCACAACCUUCUAAAAAUAACCAGCAUUUAGAGAGAACAGCCUUCUGGCAUGUCCACAAAGAAUAUUCAGUCUUGCCUUACAUUGAAAUUUGGCUUGCGUACUUUCUUUCAUUUGUCAGAUGUUGCUAUUUUUAUCCUUUGAUAAAUUCAAGUCAUUUUUCACGUUUCCUGCCCUGGCUAAAUUAGAAACUAUUAAGUGGAUUACACCAAAGUUAUUUUUUAAAGGCAACAGUAAAUAAAGUGCAAGAUCUAUGCAAGCAUUUGCACUUUCUGGAAAACCAUAUCUAAAUUUGGAACUUGAAAAAUAUCAUGUCUUCAACUGAAUUGUUCCAUAUUCUUUGUUGCUGAACAGAAUGCAGGAAAAGCCACAUUUGUCAGGGUGUAGGGCAGUAUUUUUCUGGGGAAAAGAGAGACUGAGGUUUUCCCUGAGUGUAGAACAUAAACAUGAGUCUCAUUGUUUCCAGCUGUUUUACUCAGGUUUUCUCUUGCCAUACAAUUUAAUUAUGGUUUUGUUCACAAUUGCCAGUUGUCAAAACCUUUUAGAUAUUUUUGUCUGUUGGAUUCAAUGCUUUCUUUAAAUCUAUAUAGCAAGAGUGGGAAUUUAGAAUCUCAUCCAGUGACACAGGAGCAGGCUUUUUCUCUUUUAGUGAGAAAUCUCCUUGGUCUCCUUUCCAUGUCACCUACAGAUUUGCUCCAGAGAUUAGACUGGUCAAAUGUAGAAAGUGCAUAAGCAGAGCAGUUAUGGUUCCAUUGGGAGAUGUAUUGGAUACAAUACACUAUACUAGGAGAAAGUUUAAUUGUACAAUAAGUUGAAUCCAGUAUGUGUGUUAUGUUCUGUUUCUUGUUCAGCUAUUGACUACACACUCAAUAACAAUAACAAUAAUAAUGUAAUAAUAAUAUACUUUAUUUAUAUCCUGCACUUCUCCCCUAGGGGACAUAGAGCAGAUUAUAGGAUUUACAGUGGACAUAGGCAAACAUUCAAUGCCUUUACAGUCACAUACAAUGAGACAUACAAAAACAAACAAAAGCAAAGUCUUCUCCUUUCAUUUCCGGCUUCUGGAGGUGGUGCCUAUCUCUGACUCUGGGGAGGUGCUUUCUCCGUUUUUUCAAGACAAGGAGCCUGCAUUGUUACCUGGUCAUGUAACAAGAUUGCUUGCUCUUUGCCUUUUCCCGCUGAAGAGAUACCUGUUUAUCUACUCACAUUUGCAUGUUUUUGAACUACUAGGAGCUAGGGCUGACAGAUGGGAGUCACCCUGUCUCACAGUUUCGAACUGCCAAACUUCAGGUCAGCAGUUAAGCAGCACAAGGCUUUAACUCAUUGUGCCACUGCAGCCUCCAAUGUUAAAGGGGGAAAUCUCACAAUUUCACAAUUUCAAUUCCAACCAGAUGUUACUGGUUUUCGAUUGUUUGUGCUGUUCUAAUAUAUUUUCAGUGUGUUUACCUUAUUACAUGAUGUUGUGUGUGUGUGUGGUAACUACUUGUGAAAACAAGUAGAAAAUAAUUCAAGAAACAGGCAAGCAGCUGACCCAUCCUUGAUUAAAUAAUGGAGAAAGCCCACUCUGUUCUGACCUAUAUGCAUUCAUGGCCAGGAACACAAAUAGAAGGAUUCUUGCAUUCAUCCAAGAAUCUAGCAUAGGACUUUGUGAAUGGGAGCUGAGGACACUUGUGCAUUUUAAUGGGGACUGUUGUACAGAGCAAAGAAUGGCUAUCCUGGGAAGAACAAGAACACCAAAGCAACUCUUUUCCAAUGAAGGGCAAACCAAGCAUAGUGAAUUAUUGCAGCAUCGGUCAAAUGUUAGCCAAAUGCUUCAAUGUCAUCAAUCUUGGAACACUGUUGGAUUUCUACUGUCUCAAAUUAAUAAUUACACAAAACACGACAGAAGAAAAAAAGAAGGGGACUUUUUUCAAUGGAGCCUUGGAACCAAACAUGGCUGCAGAGCAAGCUGAUCAAACACUCAUAGCAAAGCAAUUAAACUGAAAGUUAAAUGCCUUUGUGACCUGAAUGAGAACAAAAUGUAAACUACUGAGCUCUUUGGAUGGGGAUGAAAAGACAAGUACUGUCCUUGAAAGUGCUUGCCACAGAUUGGGUAUCCCUUAUCUGGAAUUCUGAAACCCAUAAUGUGCCAAAACCAUAAUUAUUCAUAUGGGUGGCUGAAAUAGAAUUUUUUUUGCUUUCUGAUGUGAACAAACUUUGUUUCAUACACACAAUAAUUGUAAAUAGUGUGUAUAUAAUUAUCAUCAGGCUAUGAGUAUAAAAUGUACAUGAAACAUAAAAGAAUUUCAUGUUUUGAUAUCUAUAAGAUAUCUUAUUAUGUAUAUGCAAAUAUUCCAAAAUCAGAAACAAAAAAUCUGAAAUCCAAACACUUCUAAGAAACAAGCAUUUCAGACAAGGGAUAUUCGACCUCUAACUUUCUCAAUAGUGGACCUAUAACAUAUUGAAAAUCCAUGGGACUGUAUCAGUAUAACCAAGAACUGGUGUCAGUAGGCUUCCCUGUAUGCUAAGCAAAACAGUCUUGGGAAUACUGUUUCCAAAUCAGUGAGUUGUGUGAUCCACAGGGAAGUUCACAUUGCUAUUGGUGUCUAGUAUUUCCGUUGCUGUUCUGACAUUGUUUCUUGCAUGGUGACAUCAAUUAGCUAAAUUCAAGCUGACAAGAUUGGUCAGUUCUUAUUGCACUCUCAUGCUGACUAAAUUUGCUUUUUCUGAAUGGGCAGGAUCCUUAUAAUCUCUAUUUUGUUUUUUGUGAGGAAAGCGUCACAACAUCAAAAAUUUUGUCUGUGAUAUCUUUUAAUAUGCAACUUAAAAGAAGCAUUUCUCUCCUGAACAUGAGAUGCUGCAUUGAAGAAUGUAUUUAAUUUAGAAGUUGGCAUGUAAAUAAUACUCACAUGUUUUCUCAUCCUCAAUGAGAAAGUAUAUCUCAAUGAGUCAAAAGAGAUAAGAGUUUAACCGUUUAACCAGAACUCUUGGACUCACCUUGCAUGAGAAGAAUGGCUAGUAUCAGACUACAUGAUGAAAUCCAGUCUGUUUUCCCAUAAAUCAAUAUACAACUUUAGGGAGCACUUGAGAAAAGUUAUUUUUCUAGAUUGCAGUUUCUCCCAUCUAGCAUGGGGGAAUUCUGGGAACUGUACUCCAAAACUAUUUUUUCUAAGAAUAUUGGAAUCACUGUGAUCUGUUUUUCACAUUAAUAGAAGUAAUUCCCUUUCCUCUCUGCCAUAGGCUUUCACUAGCUCUAAAGUGGGAGCCAUAGUAGUUGGAUUCAAGUGGGAUGCUGAAACAGGUGUGGUUCCUUUUCAUAUGUCAGUGAGCCUGCAUCUGCCUGGGGUCCCUUUUAUCAUCCUCUGGUAACCUGGUUAGAUGACCAGGCAGGAAGAGUUAACAUCUAUACCCGUGGUUCUCAACCUGUGUGUCCCCAGAUGUUUUGGUCUUCAACUCCCAGAAAUCCUAACAGCUGGUAAACUGGCUGGAUUUCUGGGAGUUGUAAGCCAAAAAACCUGGGGACCCACAGGUUGAGAACCACUAAUCUAUUCUCUACUUCAGUGUUUCUCAAACUGUGCUCCCCUGGGUAUUUUUGGACUUCACUUCCCAGAAAUCCCAGCCAGUUUACUAGUUGUUAGGAAUUGUGAGAGCUGAAGUCCAAAACAUCUGGAGGAGCACAGAUUGAGAAACUCUGCUUUAUUUAAUCAUUUAUAAGUAUUGAAAUCUCAGGAUUUUUAUGGGAUAGUUACAUGUUUUUUAUCUGUCUUUCGGGCUAUUUACACAUUCCCUUUAAGGGGGGAAAAAUAAACAUAUCAGUGUCUACGCUCAAUGUGUUCAUUAUGUUACAUGGUGUGGAAGACAUUAUACAGUCAUUACAGUAUAUGGCAGAUCAGAUACUUAGCUUUCAUAACAAUUGAAUCUUUAUCUCUGCAUCACUCUAGUAGAUUUCUCUAUAGUUCACACAAGGGGAAUACUUCCUUCUUAAACAAUUUUACUCAUUCAUUUAUCCACUAAGGAAUAUAUUCUAUUCUGUCUCUGGACAUUGCUGUAUCUAGCAAUAUCCAUUACUAUACUUAGCAAAAUGAGAUACAUAUUUGUUUAGCAUAUAAGACUAGCAGAGAACAAAGAUUCUUUCUCUUACCAGCAUGCUCUAUGUCUAUCAUCUUGUCUGGGCUAUCAGUGGACAACAGCACUGUUGUUAUCAAUGGCAUUGUUCUAUGCUGAAGUCUGAUAAGCCAGCUUCUAUUUCAGCUUGGCCUAGUUCAUAUUUUUUCCUAGUCUAAUCAACUUACACAUCUGCUCCAGUGAGAUAUGCAAUACUUAUAGGUCUUCAUUUAUAUUAGCACUAGCUUUGCCCGGCCACGCGUUGCUGUGGCAUGGAAAAUAAAGUAAUGAGAAGUAGGCAGGCUUUGAAGUUGCAAGGCUAUUCAUUCCUGUGUAUCUGUUUAGGUUUUUUAUUUAUUUUUUAUUGGAAGUCAUACCUUGGGUGUCGGUGUGGUGUCAAUUGGCCAAGUUGAGUAGGAUUUAAUGGCCUUGUAGCCUAAAAGCCUGGAGGAUUCUUCCCUGGGGGAUUCCUUUGUUGGGUGGUGUUAGCUUGGCUGAUUGUUUCUUGUCUGGAAUUCCCCUGUUUUCAGAUUGUAGUUCUGUAUUUACUGUUCUGGUUUUAGAUAUGUUUUAUGGUGGGAGCCAGGUUUUUUUCAUUGUCGAUAGAUAUACCUAGGUAAGAAAUGGGUUUAGGGCAGGUUUUCACCAUUCAUUCUAAACUCCUUAUAAUCCCCUAAUGAAGGUGGGGUUGAGUGGUAGUUACCAGCUCAAGUCAGACUGUCAUGGCUAAGUGGACACUUGAACCAGGAUCUUUCUCAUUUGUGGCUGUAGUCAAGUGAAUGGCCAAUUUUUAGUCUAACAUGUAAAGGAACUCUCUAAGGUACUGAGGUCUCAAUUCACCAAACAAAAGCAAAAAUAUAUUCCAAUACCUAAGAUCACUGGGUAUCAACCUGUGGUUCCCCAGAUGUUUUGGCCUUCAGCUCCCAGAAAUCUUAGCAGCUGGUAAACUGGCUGGGAUUUCUGGGAGUUGUAGGCCAAAACACCUGGGGACCCACAAGUUGAGAACCACAGCCUAAGAUCAACAGAGAAUGACAUGCUUUCUCAUUUUUAUGCAGUUAAACUGUCAAGGCCUUUCUUCUUUAUGGGCACUUGUUAUGGCUUUUGGAUAAAGUCUUUGUGUCAGUUUCAUUCAUUUCAACUGUAGGUGAGACUCACUAUAGGUUUCCCUGUCACCAACCCAGGAGGUUUGUCAUCGAGAAAGAGCACUGUGGAGGAAAUAAUGGUGGAAAGAUCGGCACAUGAUGAAGAGGGACAAGAUUGCAUAGAAUUACCAGCCCUAGAUGAACUAGUUAAGUAAGCAGGGUUUGCUAAUAGCAUUACAUCACUCUAGGUCUAAUGAUUGUGUCACAUGUGUUUUAGAAGAUCCAACACAAGGGGAAAAUGCCCAGUCAUCUAAUGAGUUAGUCUGGACAGUUUUUAAUGAUUUGACCUGAGUAUAAUUCUUUAAUGAUUAACUGGGCAGUCACUGGCAUGGGAAGAAAUAGGUUUAAUAAUUAAAAAAAAUAAAAAACAACGGGCUUAGAAGGAAAAAUAAUUUGAAGAGAUUUUCACUUUUCUGUUUUAUAUAUGCCAGAAUACCUCUUGUCACAUAGCUGUGCAUCACUUGAAAACACAGAAUGCCCUUGUCUAUUUGAGUGUUUCUACUUAUCUGCACAUUUAUGUGAAUUGUCUGAAUGCAGUAGUUAAUUAAUUGAUCACAAUUCAUAUAGGUAAUCACUUUGGUUUUUGUUAACUGGCUGACAGUCCUGCUGGGAAUCAGGAACUUCAAAACAAAAAUAGGAUGUUGUUAAUGAAAACUAGAAAUCUAUUUAUUCAGGAGAAAUGUUUUCAGACCUAUCUGGAAGAAGUAUGUGAAAAAAGGCAAGCACCCUUGACUUGGAGAUAAUUUGUUAUUUUAGGUAAUACUUCAGUACUCAUUUCUUCAAUUGCUUUUCAUAGUUGAUUCUGAAUGAAAUAAUAGUAUCUUUCAAAUUCUGCCACUGCCAGACUAACAUGGUUCAGAAAAAAAAACCUGUCUGUGUUUGCUAAAUUGUGAAAGGUAGUCUUCUUCAGGUGGUUAAAGUAGGGACCAUCUAGAGAAGGGAUUCUUAACCAGGGGUUAAUGGACCCUUUGAGGGUCUGUGGAAAGACUUCAGAGGGAUUAUGAUCUUAAAUUAAAAACAUCAACUUAGCAUCUUUACCUUUAACUGGAAUCUAGCAUUUCCUUCACUUUGAAUUUAUACAUUACAGUAGUUAACAGGUAUUGAAAAUGUAGUUUUGAAUAAUCCUAUUUUUUAAAGACAUGCCAUUGUUGAGUAUCAUAAAACUAUCUGCUGCUAGAGGCUCAAGGUAUUUGACCCACAGAUGACAAGAUGUUUAAGAAAUCCCCAUACCAAAUCAGUGCAAGAUUUAUCAUGCAAGGUUAAUUGUCAUUGUUGUGUGCCUUCAAAUAAUUUUGGAUUUAUGGCAACUCUUCCUAUUUGGUAAUAAACUGGAAGAAAAUCAAACCAACAAAAACAACAAAAAACAACAACAACAACAACAGGGUAUAAUAUCUCACAAUCUCUGAGGAUGCCUGCCAUAGAUGUGGGCGAAAUGUCAGGAGAGAAUGCUUCUGAAACAUGGCCAUAUAGCCUGGAAUGCACACCCUGUGAUUCCGGCCUUGAAAGCCUUUGACAACACACAGAACAAUAACAACAAUAAUAAUAGCAACAACUUUAUUUCUGUCCUUCCCUAUCUCCCCGAGGGGACUCAGGGUGGUUAUCUCAAUUAACUAUCUCAAUUAACAGGCAAACAAAUACAGGUUGAGCUGACCUGUGAUUUAUGAUGGUUUAAUGUACACAAACUUUGUUUUAUGCAAAUAUUUACUAAAAUGUUGUUUAUAAAAUUACCUUUAGGUUAUGUGAAACAUAAAUAAUUUUUUUCAGCAGAUUAGGGUCCUACCUCCAAGCUUUCUCAUUAUGUAUUUAUAUGCAAAUACAGGUAUUUCAAGAGCUGAAAAACUCAGAAGCUCAACCAUUUCUGGCUCCAAGCAUUUCAAAUAACAGAUACUCAACUUAUGCAAAUCUUUGCUUCAAUACAUGAACAAAGCUGGAUAUUUUUAUUUUGUGAGCACAUGGAGUAGGAACAAAUUAAAAAUGUUAUUUUGCUUAAUGUUUUCCUUCAAUUUUCUGUCACCCUUGUGACUUUGAGCCCUAAGCUCUGCUGCACUCCAUUCAAAGAAUGGCACAAAGGCUCCAGGUCAAGGUAAAUCUGAAAAGCUACAAGUACAGUAGAGUCUCACUAAUCCAAGCUAAACGGGCCAGCAGAAGCUUGGAUAAGCGAAUAACUUGGAUAAUAAGGAGGGAUUAAGGAAAAGCCUAUUAAACAUCAAAUUAGGUUAUGAUUUCACAAAUUAAGCACCAAAAUAUCAUGUUAUACAACAAAUUUGACAGAAAAAGUAGUUCAAUACGCAGUAAUGUUAUGUUGUAAUUACUGUAUUUACGAAUUUAGCACCAAAAUAUCACGAUAUAUUGAAAACAUUGACUACAAAAAUGGCUUGGAUUAUCCAGAGGCUUGUUUAAGCGAGGCUUGGAUUAGUGAGACUCUACUGUACUUGUUGUCUAGGGAUGGAUGAAUCACUCUGUGUGUAAUCCUUGUCAGUUUUGCAUGUAGCCAAUCAUAAAUCCUUUCCCAUCGAUUUCUGCAUGUAUCUGCAUUUUUUUGAAAGCAUGCAUAGACAUCUUUUUGUAUAUAGCCUUUUCCUUACGCUCUCAUUUUAUACCCUUUUACAAGUUUAUACAUUCUGUGUGCAGCUUUUCUUAGAAUACAGAUGUUUAAUAUGCACUUUUCAGAGAUAAGUACUGCAUCACAAAAUUCAGAGAAAUGUGCAGUCAGGAGGAUAGCUGUAUUCCAAUCUAAAUAUUAAUCUGCUAAAUGCAAAUUUUAUAAAUCCAUGUCAGAAACGAAGUCAUUUCCUCACGUCUAUUUGUAUCAGAAAUGUACCUGAACAGAAAACUGACCAGAGUGUGGAGACAUUGCAUAUUGAUACAGCACAAGGUUCAUGUGAAGAAGUUUCUGGGUUUGACCCCACAUAUCUCAGUCAAGAAGAGUUUUGGACUGGAUCUACACAGUCCUAUAUCCCAGGAUCUGAUCCCAGAUUAUCUUCUUAUGCCAGAUUAUUUGGUAGUGUAGACUCAUAUAUCCAAUUCAAAGCGGAUAAUCUGGCAUCAGAUCCUGGGAUAUAGGACAAUGUAGAUCAGUGGUUCCCAAAGUUAUUUGGCCUACCGCCCCCUUUCCAGAAAAAAUAUUACUCAGCGCCCCCUGGAAAUUAAAUUUUAAUAGCAAUUAAAUAGAAAGAUAUAUGUAUUAAUGUAUAUUGCAAAUGCAUCUGUGGCCAUCACCGCCCCCCUGGAUCACUGCAGCGCCCACCAGGGGGCGGUAGCACCCACUUUGGGAAUCACUGACGUAGAUCCAUCCUUGUGUAGCAGGCUGGUAAGUCUUUGUUUUUUAAGAACUUGGAAAGCCAUUGCUAAUUAGAGUAAACAGUAUGGUUGAAGAUGAUCUUAUAGUAAGCUAAUAACUGAUCCCUCAUGAAGCAGCUACAUUUGUUUCUAUAGUCAGAAAUGCCACAAAAAUGCAGCUUGGACCUGUUUUGAGAAAGGCAAAAUACUAAUGUAGCAAGCAACCCCACUCUAUAGUGAAUGGUUAAGGCCCCUUCCACACAGCUGAAUAAAAUCCCACAUUAUCUGCUUUGAACUGGGUUAUAUGGCAGUGUGGACUCUGAUAACCCAAGUCAAAGCAGAUAUUGUGGGAUUUUCUGCCUUGAUGUCUGGGUUAUAUGGUUGUGUGGAAGAGCGCUAUGAGAAGAUGAAAUGUAACAAAAUUCAAAAUACAUGAGAAACAAUAAUAAUAAUAUUAAUAAUAAUGAGCCAACUCCAAAACAUAAAAUAUAUUUUGCAAGCUUUUGAAUCUUCGUGGAUUUUUUAUGUGUAGAUGUUAAAAACCAUGGGGAAGAAAAGCAGGAUGGAAAUGAAAUAAGUAAAUAAAUAAAUAAAUAAAUAGAUAAACCAUUUAAGAAUAACAGACCUAUUUUAUUUUAUUUCCUGAAUAAAAUAAUCAGUUAAGUAGAGGCCAGUCAUUACCCUUUUUGGCCACAUGAGGACUGAAGAAAAAUGCAAUAAAAGACAGGUAAGAGAUUUCAACUCCCAUUAGUAUCAGAAAAGUAACUUCUCUAGAGAUCCCAAUGUCCCUGACUGCCCCUUUCUUAGCCUGAGAACACUGAACCUCUCAAGAAGCCUUUAAAUUAAGUUCCAGCCCUUUGGAUUCCCUCUUGUUUAGGAUUUCCCUAUUGUGGUGAAAUCUGGUGUAUUGAAAUCUAGGGGAGAAAGUAUUUGGAUCAAAAUGUACAUUGACAUUUUGCAAAAGGCUAGAUCAAAAUACAGAGAAAACAUGGCAACUUUGUACAGAGGCUGUCUUUUGGUCUGUGCCUUUGAUUUCCUUUGGAUUUCACAUCCCCAGAAAGAAAACUAUUGCAAUUAAACCGGGGCUUUCUGUUGCUAUAAGAAUGGAUCUUGUGAAGUGUCAGGGGAGCUAAAUGGGCAUUUCAGCACACAGCGGCUUGGGAAAAGAAGCUGCCAACCAUUUGAACUGUAGUCUUUGUGUUCUUUCCAGUUGUGAAUGGACAAACAGUGAAGGGAUAAAAUCCUCAGUGGCAUGUUUUCACACAGUGAUUGCAAAGCUACAAGGGCUUAUUUCUCUGACAGAAAAUGGAAAAAAUAACAGUGAGAAAACAGCAGCAGUGGUCAACAGAAUAAGGCUAACAGAAUUGGAUUUCAUGAAUCUUAGGGAGUAAAAACAUGAAUUUAUGUAGUAUCAAACAUGGUCUUCUAAUUAAUUACAUAAAAUGGCAACGGAAGUUAGGUGGGGAAUGUUUUGAGGCAGGACCAGUCCUAACAUUAGGGAGAAUGGAGCAGUUACCUCAGGGGCAGAUGCUGAAUAGUGUUGGAGGAUGAAACAGUAUGAUCUAGAAAGCCUUCUGCGCAACUCCUUAACUAGCUUGGAUUGUUCCAGUGCAGGGAGGAUACUGUCCCAUUGACAGUGCUGAAGUAAGACCACACUGCCAGUUUGAUCAGCUUCUUUAGAUAGAAAAACAGGAGUGGGGAGGGAAGUAUGGCUAUGGGGAGGAAAAUGUUUUGACCAAAUAAAGGAUGGGUGACACUGGGCUCAACAACAACACAUGUGAAAGUGAUCUUGGGGUCUUAGAAGAACCCAUGUUGAACAUGAGCCAACAAUGUGAUUCAGCAACUUAAAAAGUCAAUGGGAUCUUGGGCUGCCUCAAAGGGGGAGUUUAUUGUCUAGAUUAAAGGAGGAAAUAAUGCCCCUCUAUUCUGGUUUGGUCACCUGGAAUACUGUGUCCAAUUCUCAAUUUAAGGGGGAUAUUGACAAUCUAGAAAAUGUCCAAAGGAAAGUGACUAAAGUGAUCGAAGGUCUGGAAACCAUGCCCUAAGGAGCUGGGUAUGUUUAGCCUGCAGAAUAAUAAUAAUAAUAAUAAUAAUAAUAAUAAUAAUAAUAAUAAUAAUAAUAAUAAUAAUAACUUUAUAUACUGCUCUAUCUCCUCGAGAGGACUCAGGGCAGUUUCCAACACGUUUGCAAAAACAGUCAAUUGUCAAAUAAAUAUACAACAACGUGAAACACAGCAAACAUAAUAAACACAUCAUAACAAAGCAAACCAAUUAAGUUAAAAUAGACAUAGUUAAGAGUCAGAACAUUUCAUCGAGGGAUCAAGAACCAGUAGUCAGGGCAAGGUUGACAUGGUCCAUUUUAAGGGGUAGAUAAAACUUAUACAGCAUAUCGUAGGGCCAAGAGGUAAAUAGUUUACAGAGCAGGGUCUGCUUUGUUGCACACUGAAACUAAUCUUGUUCAAGGUUGAGAAGAGACAUGAUAUGUUGAAAUGAUGUCAAAAGGAAGAGGGAACAGGCUUGUUUCCUGCUGCCCUAGAAACUAGAACUUGGAGCAAUGGGAUCAAAUUACAGGAAAGGAGAUUCCACCAGAACAUUAGGAAGAACUUCCUGACUCUAAGAGCUGUUCAACAGUAGAACUCUCUGCCUUGGCAUGUGGUGGAAGCUCCCUCUUUGGAAGUCUUUAAUCAGAGGCUUAGGUGGCCAUAUGUCAAGUGCUUUGAUUGUACUUUUCCUGCAUGGCAGGUAGUUGGAUUAGAUAGCUGAUGUGAUUUCAUACAAUUCUAUGAUUCUACAACUAAUCCCUCCCUUUAGGCCUUCAUCCAUUGCUUUUGCAUUUAUUUAUCCUGCCCUUCCCACAUUAUUUGCUAACCUCAGUCCACAUCUUUGUCAUCACUGUGCUUCGCCCUCCUAUUAUUUCACCAUGCCAGCUUCUGCGUCCACUAGAGUUUCAGCUUCUUUAACAUAGUAAGUAGAAUGGUAAUGAUUUUCUCUAUUGGCUUCAGUAAUAAAUGGAAGGGGGAAUCAUGGUGUGCAUUAUUUAAGCUCUCACUUGCUACUGCAACAUCUCAGAACAGGCUUUGGGCUGUCCCAAGAAAUUGACAACCAUAUCUUGCCCGAGAUGAUAGUGGAUGUUGCUUUGCUGUGUAAACCUUUAACUCGUUCUUUUCAGAAAUCAGCUUGUCCAGCCUUCCAAAACUAGGUUCUAGCACACUGUCUCCUCUGCCAAACUGACUGGCUACUUUCUAUUCAUCCUCAUAGCCAUUUUGAUGGCUCAUAGCAUAUUGUGAAGUUGCGAUCAUUUUACAGCUGAGCUGUAUCAAAAGGACAGAGUGAACCUAAUGGAGUUUCAUGCUGCUGAGUUCAGAAGGGUGUGUUGCUGAUUUAUACUCAGCCCAUUGUGCAAUGCCAAAUACAGCUGUGUCCAAUCCUCUGGAGUACUGUGUGCCCAUCACAAGUAAUUAAGCAAGUUUUUAAACUACAUGGUAAACUGAGAAAUUGAGUCAUAAAUGAGCAAUGAAAGGACUAGGUCAAUCCAAAGAAAACGAGGUAAAACAUAAGCUGGGGCACUAUUGACUCAGUCUGCAGGGUAAUGCCAAGACAAGUGUUCUUCAUGGUAGUACAACAUGAACUGCCAUUUAUGUUGAGUAUAUGGUUACUUCUUUUGGAUCCUAAAAUAGCCAGACAUGCCUUUCUCUUGAGGAACAGUUUGCUGAGUACUUAAAAACGAGUCAUAUUUUAUUGCCAGCUGCAUGAACAGAAAUAGCUAGAAACUGAGAAAUGUUUUUUGGCUAUGCCGUAAACAGCUGGAUUUUAUGUGUUUAACGUUUCGUGCUGACUGGUCACUCCAUCAAAAUAAAUCGAGAGGGAUAAAGCCAAGUUCCAUUUCUGUGGAACUUUGUUCCCAUUUGUAUCAUACUGUACAUAUGUAGAAACACAGUCCAACACAUAAACCAAGGAUCAGAGAAGCUGCCUCAUCAUUUUACUUAUCAUUCUAGAAAUAUCUUCUGCUUUGUGACCUCUGCAUGGUGUGAAAAAAGAAAAGAAAAACAAGGACCACAAGUCAAUUUUUUGCAAAGAUUUAUUUAUCUUUUUGUUAGAGGCGUUUAAAAAUAGAACACAAAGCAAGAUAUAAGAAAUACAGAAGGGAAAUAAACAUUUUCAGUGUGGGGUUGCCAUACUUUAUCCAGAGCAAAGCUUUAAGAGCCUUUCUCUAUUUUGAGAAGAAAUUUUGCAACCCGGAGGCUCCAUUGUGUAGGCAGAAAUCUUGGCUUGCCUAUUAAAACUCAUCUUAAUAAGGUUGUUGUUUGUGUGAGGUGGGAAAAUGGAAACCUUACACCCAAGAGCAUUCCUUUCCAAAUUUCUGUCUGAAACGUAAGAACCAAUUGUAAAUCUUAAUGGUGUCCCAGUUUUCCUUCCUGUUCUGAGAAUUGAGGAAACUUCUGGGCCUCAGAGUUGCUAUGCUUGAGAGUCCAGCGUUACAGUACUUGAUAUCCUGGAGCCAAAAAUACUACCUGUGUUCUCUCAGAACUGUCUUCCUGUGUUAAUAUCAGUGUUAUAUGUGUUUCAUUGUUUUUGUUUUUAAGAUGAGCUCUCGUUUUCAGGAGAAAACAGCACAGCACACCACGAACUCAGCAGUAGAUAUGGUAACCUAUAUAAGUUAUUCCUGGAUGUACUUCAAACCUGUUUUACUUAAGCCUGAGGAAUGGGCUGGUUUAAAUCUCAGAGUGAUCUCCCUCACAAUGCACUGCCAUCCACUUCAGGAACUAGCAGAAUCCCUUCCUGGCCUAUAGCCAGCAUGCCCAGUGGGGCUGAGUGCUGCUUCCAUGUGGACACUACAUUCAGGGAAAGAAGGGAAAAAAACAAAUGACAUUUUAAAAGUCCCCUUCAUGUACUAUCAAUGGUUUAUUAGAGGAAUUAAGUGCCUUGUUUGUUUGAGGCUGUGUGCUUCCUUGGGAGGAAGAAUCAAAGUUGAGACAAAAGACUCAUUGAAAAUAGCUGUAAUAAUUAUAAUGAGGAGGAGGAAUCGGAGUAGGAAAAGAGGAAGGGUGAUCCUUUUCUCUAUUAUAGGAAUUGGGCAAAUGUAUAUGGCCUUCUCUGAGAUUUCUGGUUGCUAGGACAAAGGCGCUUUGUAAUUUUUUGUUCAUUUGUAAUUACGUUUAACAUGGAAAAAUUAUCUUGAGGGCUCCUUCAGAGAGUACCAUUGUGAAAUUUUGGGUCACCAAAUCAAAACACAGCUCCCCUGCCUUUUAAUAUACUUUAAAUAAUCUGUUAAGGAUGAAUGGGAAGAGAAGAAAUUGAGAAACACCCCUAAGGGUAUCACUCUACAUUGCAGAGGGGGGGAUCACUCAAAAUAUCUAACCUUAUUGCCCCCUUUGAGGAAUUCCUGACUCUUUGGUGCCAUGCAUUAUUGUACUUCAAACAAGUACUAGGAGACUCUAUGAAUCUCCAAGCAUUCCUCUAAAAAUGUAGAGGAGAGACUAUGGGAAAGAGAAAUCAGAUGUGCUCACCCCUUCCUAUCAAGGGAAUCAUAAUUAUGCAGUGUCACAUCAAAAGUGGUGGUGGGGAUAGAGGAUAUUUCAAGUAUUUGUUUGGCCAGUUUUGCAAUAAAGUGAUCAAAGAAACUGAGAUCUCACAUCUGAUGAGCAAGAUAUCCAAUAGAUGAAGUACAUUUUAAUCUUGGUUAUGAUUAAAAUGUUAUAUAAUGUGAUUUUAUUUUGUAAUGCUAUCUGUUUUUAUAUGAAUUGUUGUUUUGUACACUUUUUUAGGCAUUGAAUUUUUGCUUAUUUAUUGUAAGCCGCCUUGAGUCCCCCCUGGGAGAAAGGCGGGGUAAAAAUGAUGUAAAUGAUCAUUUUUUUUCGAUAGAGUUACGAGUUGGGUCGAUACAGGGAAUGCCGUGGAUGUAGCAUACCUAGAUUUCAGUAAGGCCUUCGACAAAGUCCCUCAUGACCUUCUGGCAAACAAAGUAGACAAAACUACAGUUAGGUGGAUCUGUAAUUGACUAAGCAAACGAACCCAAAGGGUACUCACCAAUGCAUCGUCUUCAUCAUGGAAAGAAGUCACGAGUGGAGUGCCGCAGGGCUCCGUCCUGGGCCCAGUUCUGUUUAACAUCUUUAUUAACGAUUUUGAUGAAGGGUUAGAGGGCACGAUCAUCAAGUUUGCAGAUGACACCAAACUGGGAGGGAUAGCCAACACUCCAAAAGAAAGGAGCAGAAUUCAAAACGAUCUUAACAGACUAGAGAGAUGGGCCAAAACUAACAAAAUGAAGUUCAACAGGGACAAAUGCAAGAUACUUCACUUCGGCAGAAAAAAUGGAAUGCAAAGAUACAGAAUGGGGGGGCCUGGCUAGACAGCAGUACAUGUGAAAAAGAUCUUGGAGUCCUCGUGGACAACAAGUUAAACAUGAGCCAGCAAUGUGAUGCGGCUGCUAAGAAAGCCAACGGGAUUUUGGGCUGCAUCAAUAGGGGUAUAGCAUCUAGAUCCAGGGAAGUCAUGCUCCCCCUCUAUUCUGCCUUGGUCAGACCACACCUGGAAUACUGUGUCCAAUUCUGGGCACCACAGUUGAAGGGAGAUGUUGACAAGCUGGAAAGCGUCCAGAGGAGGGCAACUAAAAUGAUCAAAGGUCUGGAAAACAAGUCCUAUGAGGAGCGGCUUAAAGAACUGGGCAUGUUUAGCCUGCAGAAGAGAAGGCUAAGAGGAGACAUGAUAGCCAUGUACAAAUACGUGAGGGGAAGUCAUAGGGAGGAGGGAGCAAGCUUGUUUUCUGCUGCCCUGCAGACUAGGACAUGGAACAAUGGCUUCAAACUACAGGAAAGGAGAUUCCACCUGAACAUUAGGAAGAACUUCCUCACAGUGAGGGCUGUUCGACAGUGGAACUCUCUCCCCCGGACUGUGGUGGAGGCUCCUUCUUUGGAGGCUUUUAAGCAGAGGCUGGAUGGCCAUAUGUCAGGGGUGCUAUGAAUGCGAUUUCCUGCUUCUUGGCAGGGGGUUGGACUGGAUGGCCCAUGAGGUCUCUUCCAACUCUACUAUUCUAUGAUUCUAUGAUUCUAAAUAAAUAAAUAAUACAUCUGGAUGCACAAGAGAUUAUUUAAAUUACACAGAAAGGAAGAUUUCUGACCCAUAGUCAGCCCAGGUCUUCUGCUUUCUGAGGCAAGUACAAGAGCCCACAUCACACAACUCCACACACAGAUGCCAGUUAAGAUUUUGCUUCAGUGGUUCUCAACCUGAGGUCCCCAGAUGUUUUUGGCCUUCAACUCCCAAAAAUCCUAACAGCUGGUAAACUGGUUGGGAUUUCUGGGAGUUGUAGGCCAAAAACAUUUGGGGACCCCAGGUUGAGAACCACUGUUUUACUUUAAUACUAACUUCCUCUGCUGUGUUUUGAGGGUAACAGGCUAAGUUAUGGGAUAAUGAUCAGGGUACGUGACACACAUACUCUCUCCUCCAAAUCUUUCCCACUUCUCUGUUCUACGUUCAUGCAUCUUAGUUCAGACACAGAAAACCAAAAAGUGCAGUUCCAACCACUAUAUCCAAAUCACACUUUAUAUCCUUGUAACUGCUAACAAGGAUUUCAGUAAGCUUUCUUAGUUAUUAUAAUUAUAGCCUUGCCUUGAAAAGGCAAAUGCAACUGCCAACACCACUGCUGGGCCUGAGGCUAAUCAAGAGAAUGGAGCCAUUUGUCAGCAUCCUUGAAUCCCACUGCAAACAGGAAGACUGACUACAAUAGGCAAUUGUUCAAAGUAGUGUGUCUCCAGCACUUACCGUAUUUGUAUGUUAUUAUGAAACUCUGUCUUUCAACAAAUACUCAAGUGAGGGUUCUAACAAACGAUAAACAUCCCCCCCCCCCAGACAAAAUUAGAUUCCACUAUCAUGUCAAGAACUUUCUUUCAAACAUUGCCAACUAGCUGACAACGCCUUUGAACUACUGACUUGGACAAGGGCCUAUUGUAGCUGAUCAAAUAUUCCUUAUUUGCUUUAGUCACAAAACAAAUAUCAUGUGGAAACUUUUUAACGCUUAUUUUGAAAAAAUAGGGCACCCUGGUAUCAAAUUGAACCAUCACAGACUCCACUGAUUUUCAGUUACUGGGAAGAACAUGCCCAAUAUUGUGCAGAUUUUCAACAGCCCAUACAAUUUACAGAAUAGAUCUGUACUCCUUAUGUUUUCACACUACAGUUACUGAAGCCAUAUCAUAAAGGUAUAGACUAAGGGCCCAUUUCCACUGCCAUAUAAAAUCCCAAUUAUCUACUUUGAACUGGAUUAUACGGCAGUAUAUACUUAUAUAAUCCAGUUCAAAGCAGAUAAUGUGGAUUAUCUACUUUGAUAAUCUGGAUUAUAUGGCAGUGUAGAAGGAGCCUGAGUUUGCAGGACCUGAUCUGGGCUGUUGAUAGUAGAAUGAUUUGGAAAUCUUUUGUUUGCAGGGCUGUCAUAAGCCAACGUUGACUUGAUGGCAUUUAACAACAACAACAACAACAACAACAGGAAAUUGACCUUGAUUCCACUGGAUUACCGUAAUUGUUGAUCAGGCCAGGAGCAGUAACCAUCACAUUCAGCAUACUCAUAUACCUUUAAAAAAUAUUAAGUGAUUUUAAACAUAGAAAGGGUGGGAACAAUAUUGGGUGUAGGAAAGAAAGUGAAAAGGAAAAGGGAAAUGGUGAGGAAAAGGGAAAAAACGAAAAAAGUAUAUAAAAUGAUUUUUUUUUAAAGAAAAGGCUUGGCCUUCUGUUCUUCCUUUCGGUUUUAUUAUCCGUAGUUUGCCAUUUUUCCUUUUUGUUUAGUCCUUCUUUCCCAUUUUAUUUCUAUUUUCAUUAUCAAAUUUCCAUUUUCUAUAGUUGGUAUUCCAUUUUAAUGUAUUCUUCUAGAGAUGACCAACUAAUCAUUUUUAAACCUCUAGCAUUACCCUUCUUUAAUAGGUAAGUUAACCUAUCCAUGUCCUUUAUUUCCCUAACUUUGCUUAACCAGUCCUCCUUAGUUGGUAACUCAUAUGUCUUCCAUCUUUUCGCAAAUACUAUCCUGGCUGCUAUUGCCAGAUAUGUAAGUAGUUUUUCUUUAUUAGAGUCUUUUAUAAUUUCCUUUUCAUAUAUUCCUAAUAAAUGUAUUUCAGGUCUCAUUGUAUAACUAAUUCCCAGAAUUUUUUGACUUUCUUUGUGUAUCAUCUUCCAAAAUUCCAUUGUUUUGCUGCAUGACCACCAUAAAUGGUAAUAUGAUCCUUCUUUUUCUUUACAUUUCCAGCACCUAUUAUCCAAAUUUUUAUUACAUUAAUCCUAAUUUUUAGGGGUUAUGUACCAUCUAUGCAGUAUUUUGAGCCAGUUUUCUUUUAGGUCCAUAGCGUAAUUAAAUUUUUAAUUUUCUUUGCCAUAUUUCUUCCCAUUCUUUCAUCAUUAUUGGUCUACCAAUGUUUCUUGCCCAUUUCAUCAUUGAAUUCUUUAUUUCUUCUGUUUCAGUAGCCCGGGCAUUCCAGCAAUUUGUUGUAGAUUUUCGUAAUCAACUUUUUUUCCGUAGAAAGUAUGUUAUCCCAGAAGUCUUCCUUUUCAUUAAAUCUAAUUUUCUUAUCUAUGUUGUAAUGUUCUUUAAUGUUCUUUAAUGUUGUAAUGUUCUUUAAUUUGUAAAUAUUGGAGCCACAUAAUCUGUUUAUAGUUUCUUUUUAUGUCUUCAUGUCAUCUUAAGUUCCAGGAGUUACCCUUCUUUAUCAGCAAUUCUUUAUAUGUAGGCCACUUCAUCCAGCCCAACAGUCUUCUUUGGUUUGCUUCCAGUGGAGCCACCCAUAAUGGAAUCUUUUCAUAAAAAUAAUGUUUAUAUCUUUCCCAUACCCGUAGAAGGGAUGAUCUCACAAAAUGGUUACCAAAGUUCUUCUCCUCUGUGGACCCCUCAUACCAUAGGUACGAGUGCCAUCCUUUCCUCAGGUCAAAUCCUUCCAGUGUCAGUAGUUUAGGUUUUGUCAAUUUCAUCCAUUCCAAAACCUCUCCUCCUUUUAGAAUCAGUCAUUAUUGUAAAUUUUAUCCUGGGUUUUUUCCCCCUUCCAUAUACAUUUUGACAAAUCUUUGUUCCAUUCUUUGAAACGUUUUAUAUUUCUAAUUAUUGGUAUUCUUUGUCUGUUGCCUUGUUCUUGCUUCUUCCCUUUUACUCCUUUCCUUUGCACGUUGUUUUGCCCGUUGUUCCUAUCGCCGUCCCUCACGUGGUCCCAUCUGCCAGCCCCUCCGUUGUCCUGUCUUGUCAGGAUGCUGUCACUUUAUUUUCGGUUCUAUCUGCUCCCCCCCCCCCCCAAGCCGCUCUUUCUCGGCUUUUCUCCAUCUAACAAAAUAUUACAAACCUUGAGCAUUCACCUUCCCGAAGUAUCUAUGAAUAACAAAUGAGUGCAAAACAAGCAACUUAGUAGUCUAAAAAAUUCAAGUUGUCAUGUUCACAUUUGUUGAUACUCAGUGGACUAAUUUAAAUCUUUCAUUUGGUGGAGUGACUCUAAUUAAUUGAGGCUUUAUUUGCACUGCAGAAUUAUAGCAGUUUGACACAACAUUGCCAUGGCAUAUGCUGUAAAAUUCUAGAAUUUGUGGCUUUGUGAGAUACUUACAAAAAGCUCUGGUGACACAACAAAUGAUAACCCCAAGAUUCCAGAUGGUGCUACAGCUGUUAAACUGCAAUAAUUGUGUAAGAUGGGUAGCCUCAAAGAAACAGAUUUUUAAAAGGAUAAUGAUUUUGACACUCUAAUCAACAAAAACUGUUCUGCCUGUUUGGUUUGUCAGGGAAUGAAAUGCACCAGAUCAAGAACUCAAUUUAAGAAUUUUCACCUAUCUGCUAAACUGACAGUAAGAAAGGAAUAACACCUCACUGGUUUCGUUUACAGAUUGAAGUGCCUCCGUGACAGUACUUAUUCAGAGUUAUUGCAUAUGGCUACAAUUUAAUCUCUUGACCAAGUUGUCACUGUUGUACCAUUAAAAUGUACAAAUGUG